rnacentral:misc_RNA from 1 species
GGGGAAAAAAAGGAAUUCAUCAAGGGUUGCUAUAACAUACGAACAGCAUUCUUCUAAUUAAAAAGGUAUUAUAUAAUAAUUAGUAGAGAUGAAAGGAAUACUCCAAUUAAAACUUCCAUUACAGACUGAAAGCAGCAAUUAUGGACUCAGUGAGGCAGAGUGAAAGAAACUCUUGCUGAUAAUCAGAACAAAUUUAAAAAGAAAAAAAGAUGUUGUUGAUUUACAAAACCAAGCUUUGCAAUUGAAAACCAAAGGCAACAUUCAAGUCUGAAGCAUGGAAAAGCUAUAAUGAACAAAAAAUAUUCCACGACAGCAAGUAGCCAGAAUUUAUUAAGCAAUAAUUAAUGCACAGAGGAUAACAACUAAACUUUAAUUCGAAAUAAUUGAGGUCAUCUAUAUGUAGUAUCUUUUUGAUCAUUCAAUUCUGUUUGAAGUUAAUUGCACAUAAUAACUUGGUAAGCACACAUUUCGUAAUCUCAUCAACUACAACAACAACAACAACAUGCGAAAUUAAAUUCCAUGGCUUUGUUAACUCGAUAAUGAACUUGAAAACUUCUUUUUCAUCUAGAAACAAAACAAAGGCAAAGGAGCAAAAUUCACGAAACCAUAUUUUUUUUCAAGAAAGAAAAAACAAUGAGAUGAGAUAUGUGCCAACAAAAAUGAACAUUUACA